rnacentral:rRNA from 1 species
AGAGUUUGAUCCUGGCUCAGGAUGAACGCUGGCGGCGUGCCUAAUACAUGCAAGUCGAGCGAACCGAUUAAGAGCUUGCUCUUAAGAAGUUAGCGGCGGACGGGUGAGUAACACGUGGGUAACCUGCCUAUAAGACUGGGAUAACUCCGGGAAACCGGGGCUAAUACCGGAUACGUUCUUUUCUCGCAUGAGAGAAGAUGGAAAGACGGUUUACGCUGUCACUUAUAGAUGGGCCCGCGGCGCAUUAGCUAGUUGGUGAGGUAAUGGCUCACCAAGGCGACGAUGCGUAGCCGACCUGAGAGGGUGAUCGGCCACACUGGGACUGAGACACGGCCCAGACUCCUACGGGAGGCAGCAGUAGGGAAUCUUCCGCAAUGGACGAAAGUCUGACGGAGCAACGCCGCGUGAACGAAGAAGGCCUUCGGGUCGUAAAGCUCUGUUGUUAGGGAAGAACAAGUGCUAGUUGAAUAAGCUGGCACCUUGACGGUACCUAACCAGAAAGCCACGGCUAACUACGUGCCAGCAGCCGCGGUAAUACGGAGGGGGUUAGCGUUGUUCGGAAUUACUGGGCGUAAAGCGUACGUAGGCGGAUUAGUUAGUCAGAGGUGAAAUCCCAGGGCUCAACCCUGGAACUGCCUUUGAUACUACUAGUCUUGAGUUCGAGAGAGGUGAGUGGAAUUCCGAGUGUAGAGGUGAAAUUCGUAGAUAUUCGGAGGAACACCAGUGGCGAAGGCGGCUCACUGGCUCGAUACUGACGCUGAGGUACGAAAGUGUGGGGAGCAAACAGGAUUAGAUACCCUGGUAGU